rnacentral:lncRNA from 1 species
CAACACAAAAGUUAGUAGAUAAAAACCUCACACUCUCAAGUGUUUGAUCCUCACCCACACAAGUGUUUCUCUCAGAUUUAGGUGAUCACACACAAGUUUUUACUCAAUGUUCUAAGAGAACAAAUCAAAGAAUCCCAAUGGGCAAAUCCAAGCAAACAAGGGAAUUUUCUCAAGAUAGAAAGAUAAGAGAUUUUGAUUUUUGAAAUCCGUUUUAACCACCUCAAAGGCUGGAUUUCUCCUCAGCCAGCAGGCUUUCUCUUCCACCACCAAUCCACAAAUCAAACUUUUCGAAUU